UACGGAGGGGGCUAGCGUUGUUCGGAAUUACUGGGCGUAAAGCGCGCGUAGGUGGACCUGCAAGUCGGGGGUGAAAGCCCGAGGCUCAACCUCGGAACUGCCUUCGAUACUGCGGGUCUCGAGUCCGGGAGAGGUGAGUGGAAUUCCUAGUGUAGAGGUGAAAUUCGUAGAUAUUAGGAAGAACACCGGUGGCGAAGGCGGGUCUCUGGGCAGUAACUGACGCUGAGGAGCGAAAGCGUGGGGAGCGAACAGG
rnacentral:rRNA from 1 species